rnacentral:lncRNA from 1 species
UGCCUUUUUCUUUUCAUCAACCUUGGUGACUAUCAGUGUCAAAGAAAGCUUAAUUCUUCGUUCUGUUUUUAUUUGUCUCUUUAAAGGUUUGUAAAUUUUUUUUCUAUCGACCUUAUUCAACCAUGUAAAUGGAAAAUUUAUGUUAAAAUUCUUCCAUGCAUAGUAGGUACAAAGUGGUUGAGAUAGUUCACAAAAAUGUUAUGGAUGGCUUCUUGUGAUUUAAUAUUGGAGUCCAUAAUAUCUCUACACUCCAGAUCGCGUAGAACUAACUAGAUUGCUCAUUAUUUUCCCGAGCUUGUUGUUUUUGAAACGCUGGACGAUGCUGACAUUUGUGUUGCGUUCGCAGGUUAUGAAAUGGAUGAACAGGCUCCUGAUUCUAAUUACUUGCGGCUGCAGUUUUAUCAGUUCCCGGAUCCCAGGUCAAGACCUGGCCGUAACAAGGGGUGAUAGGCAUUAGGUGAUGAGAAACAUCCGUGUUGAUGUAAUCAAGAUUGCAUUUGCUCUUAUACAUUAUAUAUAUUGCUCAGGCUUGGGCACACACUAAUUGUAAGCACUUCUGAUGCACAUUGUUGUUCUAGGUAGUGAAAUCAGAAACAGUUUUAUAGUUGUGUUGAACGAUCUGAUUUUGCACGUCCAUGGUCUACAAUUUACUCAAGGAAUGUUUUAAUUCUGAAUUGAGAUUGUACUGUGCAUAGACUACCGCAAAAUUAGUACAGAGAUAGUUUCCCUAUAGAUUGUUUUCAUAUACUAGAGGACUUCCAUGGCCAGGGUAUCUUGCCACCAUAUUGUCCCCGUACAUUUUCCCUCCAUAUUAGUUAUAUAUUUAUCUGGACAUUCUAACCUAAUGAAGUCCUACAAUCAUCAUAACUCAUUUUACUUAGCUCAUGCUCCUUACAAUAUUUGAUGAACUCACAUAAGAAACUCAUAGAAAUUUGUUCCCAGUCAUUACCUUUGGACUGCAGUUGAAGCUUAUGAUACAUCCUCCCAAUGCUAAGCACUAGCUAGUGGGUUGUCGACUAAUCUAUGCCACCGUACACAUCGCAGGGGCUUUGAACUCUGUCUCAAUUAUUGUAAAGACGUUAGCCUCUUCAAUGAAAGAACCCAUAGUCCUAUGCUGCUAGAGCUCCCCCCACCCUUCUUGGAAUUAAUAUAGUGUUAGGACAUAUCGCUCUAUUUCUCACAUCACGUGACUAAUGAUUUCUUUGAAGUUACUUCUUUAGGAAACACUUAUACUACAAGUGCUUUUAUUAUAUAGAAUCUUUAUAAGCAAUCCAAGUGUUCAUUGAAAACGUAUUUGAAAGUGCUUCUUGAAAAAGCAUUUGGCAAGUGCUUCUUGAAAAAGCAUUUGGCAAGUGCUUCUAUAAAAGAGCUUAUUGGGUCAAAAGAAUUUCUAAGUUUUUUUUUCUGCCAAGCACAACAGAAUACACAUUUUAGCUUUUUCCAGAACCAAUCCCAGACAAGUUCUAAGCAAAGAAAGGGCGAUACAGCCUGAAGACAACGGAGAAUUUCCCUGACGUUAAAGGUUUUGUUUGUUCGGUCACUAAACCCAAAAAAAUAGAAAACUUGAAGUGGGCAAUGAAUUGGUUUUCGAUUUCCAUUAAAUUGGCACAACAUUCGGCAUUGUUAUGCAAAAAUAUACUUUUUUCUUAUCAUUAGUUUUACACACACUCUAGUCUGUGGUAUAAAAUGAGCUAGGGUUUGGUUGGAGAACAAGUCUACGUGGUAUCAUCACUUACAUUACAUGCCAUGUGGGCUGGAGGGUUUCAUUUGGUGCCAUUACUCCUUUUUCUGUUCUAUAAUCAUUUUGGAACUGGAAGAGAAAGUGGAGGGGAAAAGGUAGUUUAGGGCAAAAAUUUUCCAAUCAAUUUUUUGGCAGUGUGACUGUUUUCGAAAUAUAGAGUAGUUGUGGCAAAAAAGAAAAAGGAAAGGGGUAAUUGUACAUACACAUUGUUCCAAAGGGUCAGUUGUCCCACAACUUGUCAAGGGACCAGAGCAUUAAGUUGUAGCUGCAAGUGCAAGGAGAAAGUUGUGGAUUAGAUAGACCAAUGGAUUUGGUUUGGUUUAAUUCCAAGUCAUCGUCGUUUCUUCUUCUAUGUGGCCCAGCCGCCCAGGACUUUAGUCCUUAUUUGGCAGGUACUUAUUACAAGGUUAGAUAAAGGGAGAUGAUACAUGGAGAACGGUUUGCCAAGUUUGUUAGAGUGGAUCCGGAUCCAUGAGUGUUGGAUCUCUAGUAAUUGAAUCUUUAGUUAAAGAUUCAAUGUCUCAACGAUCUAUGCUAUACAUUUGUCUUUACGAAUUUUCAUUCAUUGUGUAUUACAUAAUAUUCUUGACCCUCUUAUAUGUGACUUCGGCCGACUUCUAUCACCCGAUAUCGUUGUGUAAUAACUUGAUGAGAUAGCCAAUGCUUAGGUCAUCUUCAAUGGAGAUGGCUAAAGGUCAAAAAGCUAAAAAAUAGUAUGAUUUGUUCAAAAACUCAUCUCCAACCAAUGUCAGAGCUAUAAUUAUAUGGAGCCCACCAUGCCAUUAUUUGGCUAGUGCCCCUUUCUUAGCCCCUUUUUGGGGCCUAGCUCCUCGAUUAUGCCAUCUGCAAUGAAGAGGGCUAAAUGUCUAAAAGCCAAAAAAUGACAUGAUUUACCCAAAAACUCAUCUCCAACCAAUAGCUAGGUUAUAAUUCUAUGGAUUCAACAGUUAGAUUUGGAAACAUCCAAUGUUAGUUUAAUUAAAUUAAAGUAUAAACUUAAAACUAAUAAAUUAUUAGGGAGCCUAUGUUUUAGCCCUUUCGGUUGGAGAUGGUAUAUGAGUAUGGCCGACACUAUUCAUUUAAAAAUAAUUUUUUUGUUGGGUUAUAAUUUUGGAUGAGGCUAUGUCUAGCCCUUUUGGUUGGAGAUGACCUUACAAUGAUUAAUUCAAAUUCAAUGGUUAAAUUUGAAAAUAUCCAACAAAACAUCCAACAGUAGUUUAAUUAAAUUAAUCAAUAAUUUUAAGUAUAAACUCAGAACUAAUAAAUUAUUGAGGGAGUUAUGUUUAGCCUUUUCGGUUGGAAAUGAUAUAUGAGUAUGGCCUAAUACUGUUUAUUAAAAAAAAAAUCUUUAGUUAUCUCUGCUAAUCAAUAAAACACUCAUUGUCAACCAAAAUCCUAUGAAAUUACCAGUUUAACCUUCUAAUUAAAACAAAACAUGAAUAAGAAAUAUGGGGCGGAAAUUUAAUUUUACACAAACAAAAUUUGUUGUUUUUUUUUUUCAAAACUUCAUCUAUAUAUAAUUCUAACAUAUCUCUAAUUAUAAAAUAAAUAAAAAAUAAAAAUAAAAACUUCCUACUCCCACAUUCUCUAUCACUCCCUUCCUCUCUUCUUUUAUUUUAAAACAAAAAAAAAAAUUUCACAUACUUUAUAUAUGCCCAUAUGCUAGUAAUUAUAAACGAAACUAUAUUUAACUAUUUCGUUGAAAAUGACCGUACGAGUAUGUAAAUUUUGAAAUGUGAGUUGUCGUUCACUACGCAAGCAAAGAUCGAAAGCCUUCAUGUACCGAGGGGUCCCACUCCUUGAAUCAGAAUAAAAGUGCUUUGAAAAAGUCCCUUUAAUUAUGUCCAAGUUUGGAUAAAAUUUGUCCAUGCAUGGCAUGCACUCACUGACUGAUCUCGUCGUCCUGAAGGGUAAGAGAGGUAAAUUCCAGAAUAACCCACGAGGCACUGUAUGAAGCCUGUCAAUUACAUCAACUCAUCAAGCUUUCAAUCUUUUCAUGGCAUGCCUAACUUCUGUGAAAUAUGCUCAACAUUUAACAUUUUGUAAACCAAAAAGAGAGUAAGAGAGAGAUGAUUGAAGUAAUAAAGUAAAAGCGAAAUGCAUGCAUUGAUAAAAGGAAAUUUUAACAAAAAAAAUUUCGGUACUGUUUACUUUAACAAAAAAUUAUAUUUUUACAUUAAAAAGUCAAUUCUAAUACUAUUCAUUUUACCCUUUAUUUGUUCUUUAUUGUUAAAAAUCAAAUUUUUCAAUCCAUUUUUAUUAGUUUUCCUUUGAUAAAAGGAGAAAGAUGCAUGGAGAACUGGUUUUUUAUUUUAUUAUUAUUUUUUUUACAAACAAUAAUAUUAGAGUGGAUUAAGUUAUUAGCUGUUAGCGAGAAGAGGAUCAAUAAUAAUCAAACUAGCACCCGGAUGUAUAAGCAUAAUUGUUUUCUAAAAUUGCAAUAAAACGUCACUUUCCAUAUAUAUAUAUAUAAAAAAAAAAAACUUAUUGUUCCUUGUAUGAUGGAUUGCAAUCUCAAUAUCGUUCUUAAUGGAACGGCCACAAUUAGUUGUUCAGGACAUAAACAAUAUGUAUUGUCUUUAUAUUUAGGAAAUUGGCUCUGUUAGCCUUAUUACAAACCCAACAAUUAAAAAUACUCCCAAAUUAUAAUCUCUAUUAGCCCUCUUUUCCUUAAAUACCACUAACUUGAAAGAUGAACUGUUAUUCUAUGUCUCGACGUUGGAUCUCGAUGGCAUCCAAAAGGGCCUCUCAACUCCCUUCCGACUGUAUCUCGACUGAAUCACGACGGCAUCUCAACGGCACAGAACUGAAUUACCCUUAUAUUUAUGAGUUGAUCAGACACUCCAAUUAAAUAAAAAUAACUAUAAUUAUGUCAAAAUUAUUUAGUCAGUCUCACGUAUAUAUAAUUAAUUCAUCAAACACAUAAACAAAAAAGUUCUUGUAUGUAUGCUAUACUUUGAUUUGUCUCAACAAGAAAUGACUCAGUCAUCUUUUUAUCUAUGUCCAUUGAGUUUAUGGAGGGCAACAUAUUGAGAUCUCAAAAAUCUUAUUCUCAUACAACACACUUUUUUUUUUGAACAAACGAUAUUAUCUACACUAAGGGAAAAUGGGUGGCCUAAACCUCACAAUGGGCUAGCAAUAAUGUGGUUCAAAUUCACAUUUGGCGAGAAUCAAACCUAAGACCUCUCACUGACAAGUGAAGAAGAAUAUCACUAGACCGUAGUCCUAAAAAAAAUAUAGAUCUUAUAGUCUUGCAGUGUUUUAGAUUAGCUAAAACGUUGGUAUCCAUAUUAACUUACCAAAAAAAAUAUGUUGAAUUUGCUACACCUGGAAUUUGUAGCAGAUUUGUCAUUUUAUAAAGGGGUUUUUAACUCAUUUAAAAAAAAAGAAGGGGUUUUUAACUUUAAUUCUUAAAAAAAAUUGAAAUUUAAUAAAAAUCGGAUGUUAGAUUACAUAUUAAUUAUUGUCCUUUAAUGUGUUAUUAACUCAAAUUAAUUAAUGUGUAUUUUAUUCAAUAUCUCACAUUAAAUAUUUGAAUUUAUGAAAAUGAAAAUUAUAAUAAAAUAUAAUUAAUAUAUCAAAAUUAGAAAGAAAAAGAGAAAUAAUUAAAACAUCAAAAUAUAAUUAAUAAAUGAAGUAAUUAACAUAUCAAGAGACUAAAAUUAGAUUUUAAUUUUACUCAUGUUUUUAAUUUAAAGUUAUUUUUAUCAAAAAUUAAAAUGAAGUUUCCUAUUUUGUAAAUUACAACGAUGAAAAAUGACGCGUUGCACGUAAGAAACAACAUCUAUAUUUUCUCUUUUGUUUAAUAUGCCAUCAAACAUAUCCAUCACAUUUUAAAUUUUGUGGAAGUCCCUCUCUCACAUUGAUAAAGUCUGGUUUGUGUUGGACAGCUGUCCAACAGACAACCCAAAAAUCUUCCAAAAACCAACAAACAUUUCUGACCAGUCAUGCAUACGUAUGCAUGGACCCAAUGGCAUAUAAUCAAAAAUUUUAAAUAAUGGGAUCGUAAUGUCAACUUAAAAAAAAGUUUCAUUAAGCUAUUUCAUCGAACAUUUAGUAAGCAAUUGUCAAUUCUUGUCAACAAUGCCAAAAGUUUAUGUUAAAAUAUAUCAACUACGAUAAUUUGUAGAGGCUUGUCGAGAGUGAUGUAGGAUACUACGAAGUAAUAUUGAGAACUCUUAAAGCUUUUCAACUAAAGUAUUUUAUAUAAAAAGAGAGAAAAGAAAAACAAAUAUGAUAGAAGAAAAUAGAAGAAGUAAGAAGAUGAGGUUGUAAGUUAGUUUGCUUUAGCUAUUUAUAAUGGUCAAAUAAAAUAUACAAACAAAUAUACAUGAGAUUUUUAAAGUUGUUGAGAUCAAGGAUAAUCAAUGAUCCCAUUCUAGUUUUGCCAUUGCAUGGGCCGGAUAGGGAUAUGGCUAAAAUAUAAUUCUAUUAAUUGCGUUUUGGGACUUUGUCUAACAACUUGGCUCUCUCUUGACUUGGAUGCCAUGGAUGGCUCAUGCAGUUUACUAAAACUAGUAAUGUACAAUUUUCAGAGACUAUUAAUUAUCAUCUAUCAGGAAAAUUUGAUUUCCAUGCUUGCCCUUUCACGUCGGUGACUUGGAGAUAAUAUUGUUUCUUGUCCGGAGAUGAAAUAAAAUAAAAAGACUUGCACGAUCAUACUGCAUUAUAUAUAUUACACUAUAUAGUCUAUGUUGGGAGUUAUAUAUUAGUUAAAGUAUAAAUAGUAGUCUGUUAUCCUAUAUUGAUGAAGUGCAUAUGUAAUACAAAUUGUAAUUCCUAUAUAUACUCCAUUUUGGAGAUUAAUGAAUAUAUGAGAAAUUCUCAAAUAUUAUCAUAUAUAUUUUUGGUAUUUACCAUGUUUAGUUUAAUAUAGCAUCAAAGCAGUUCGCUCUUGGUGACCUGUGUGCUUUAAUUUUGUGCCCCACAUUUGUCAUGAUUUCCUUCGUCUUGAAAAAAAAAAAGGAAAGUAAAUAGUGUUGCACUACAGUACAAACAGUGCGUAAACAGUGGUAUGCUACAGUGUUCAUGAACAAUAUUUUGCUACAGUGCCAUUAACAGUGAUCUACUACAUCACUUGAACAGUGAUGUGCUACAGUAUUAUGGUAAAUUGUUUUCAUUCCGCUGCCUAUCUUUUGUGCCUUUAUUGUUUGUGAUUUAAUUCAAUGGCUCAGUAUAAUCAUAAUGUUGUUAUGCAUCUUGGUGGAACAAAUAAAUGGAUAAUUGAUACUGGGACCACUAAUCAUGUGACUAGUGACCCUAGAAUGUUUGAUGAGUUAUGUGACUAUAUUCUUGAUCCGUAUAUUACUAGUGCAAAUGGAGCACAUUCCCCCGUGAAUGUUGAAGGCAUUAUCUCUCUUACUUCGACCUUAUCACUGGUCCAUACUUUACUUGUUCCUGAUGUUAAGUGCAAUCUUUUGUCGGUAGAAAAACUACUUGAUACUUUAUAUUGUUUUGCUCACUUCUACCCUACGUAUUGUUAUUUUCAAGACAUUCAAACUCAGAAAGUAAUUGGUCAUGGUAAAAGAAUAGAGGGUUGUACAUCUUGACUAUGGAGGAUACUGUUGUUUCCGGUUCAAAUAAUCAUCAAGUUUUAAGUGCUAAAGUGGAUGACAUACAUCAAAUUUGGUUGUGGCAUUGGCGAUUAGGACGUCUAUCAUUCAGUUAUAUGAAGCAUCUAUUUCCUGCUUUGUUUCGCAUUUGUAGUGAUUCAUAAUUCAAGUGUGAAGCAUGUGUCAUGGCUAAGAGUCAUCGUGCUUCCUUUCCCAUAAGUGAUUCUAAAGCUACUUUGCCAUUUGAUUUAAUACAUUCUGAUGUGUGAGGUCCGGCAAAUGUUACUUCUAAUGAAUUUCGUUGGUUUGUUACUUUUAUUGAUGAUUGUACUCGAUUAACUUAGGUGUUAUUGAUGAAGAAUAAGAGUGAUGUUCAUUUGCUUCUUCAAGAAUUUUGUGCAAUGGUGUAUACUCAGUUUCAGACCAAAGUUAAGGUUUUCAGGUUUGAUAAUAGAGGAGAAUAUGUGAAUCACACUUUGACAUGCUUUUUUCGUGAUCAGGGUAUUAUUCACCAGACGACUACUUUGUUUACACCCCAACAAAAUGGUGUGUCAGAACAGAAGAAUCGUCAAAUAAUGGAGGUUGCUCACUCAUUGAUGUUGGAUAAAUGUGUUCCUAAUCAUUUAUGGGGUCAUGUUGUUUUGGCUGUUGUAUAUUUGAUAAAUCGUGUUCUAAGUAGGGUUCUUGAUUUUCAGACACCACUUGAUGUGUUACAAAAGCAUGUUUAUCUUGUUUCUGUAUCAAAACUUCCUCCGAAGGUGUUUGGGUGUAUUGCGUAUGUGUAUGUCUACUCUUAUCAGCGGAGUAAACUUGAUGCAUGUGUUCUUCGAUGUGUAUUUAGUAGGUAUGCUAACAAUCAGAAAGGCUAUAAGUGUUAUCAUCCUCCGACUCAUAAAACUUAUAUUACCAUGGAUGUCACUUUCCACGAGGAAGUUUCGUAUUUUGUGAAGCCAUCUUCCGACUCUCCACUUCAGGGGAAAAAAGGGAGUGAAGUGCAUAUUUGAAGAGAUGGUAUGGAUGAUGUGUUACAGGCAGAGUUGGGGAUAGAACCUAUUAUGUUGCGUGAUACUGAUCAGUCGGUUAUAGAUAGUGAUCUGUCACCUAUUAUUCCUAAAACUAUUUUUACUGACGACAGAUUAGAUGUGCCCAACGAGUUGCUUGUCAGUAUGUCUGACGAAUUACUUUCUGAUGACCGAUUGCUUGCUUCUGGUAUGUCUAACGAGCUGCCUGAUGAUGGUUAGUUCAGUGAUGGUUCAUCCAGUGAUGAUUCUUUUAACAAUUUGGUACAAGAUAAUGACAUACAUGAGUUAAAUUCUGACGAUUCUUCUAUUUAUUAGUUGCCUCCACGAGCUAAUCGUGGAAAACCUAAGGUACAAUAUGAGCCUGAUAUGCAUGCCAAAUCCAAAUAUCCUAUCAACAAUUAUGUGUUUACUCAUCGUUUGUCCAAACCAUUUUCAUCUUACAUAUGUCAGCUAUCUAGUGUAUCAAUUCCAACAAAAUUGCACGAUGCCUUGUCUGACCCUAAGUGGGUUAAUGCCAUGAGAGUUGAGAUGGAAGCCUUGGAAAAGAAUUCUACUUGGGAUUUGGUUCAUUUACCAAAUGGGAAGAAAGCUGUUGGAUGUAGAUAGGUGUUCACUAUUAAGCACAAAGCAGAUGGUUCUAUUGACCGGUAUAAAGCCAUAUUAGUUGCUAAGGAUUAUACUCAAACCUAUAGGGUGGACUAUCAGGAGAUUUUUGUUCUUGUUGCCAAACUUAAUACUGUGUGUGUUCUUCUGUCCUUAGUAGCAAACCAGGAUUGGCCUCUGUUGCAGUUUGAUGUUAAGAAUGAUUUCCUUCAUGGUGAUCUCAAGGAGGAAAUUUAUAUGGAUCUCCCACUUAGUAUUAGAACAUCUCCUGAAAAAUGUGUUGUAUGCAAGUUGCAAAAAGCUUUGUAUAGUUUGAAACAAUCUCUUAGAGUGUGGUUUUGGAGGUUUACAAGUUCAAUGAAGAAGUUUGGGUAUGUCCAGAGUCAUUCAAAUCAUACUUUGUUUCUAAAUUGUUUCUAAAGCCACAAAAUGGUAAGCUAACUGCAUUGAUUAUUUAUGUUGAUGACAUGUUAGUGACUAGUGAUGAUCAAAAGGAGAUACAACGCCUUAAAAAAGUACCUAGCUAGUGAAUUUGAGAUGAAAGAAUUGGGUGAAUUGAAGUAUUUUCUUGGAAUCGAGGUUGCACAAUCCAAGCAUGGUAUUUUUCUGUCUCAACAGAAGUAUGUUCUUGAUUUGUUAGUUGAAACAAAUCUGUUAGAUUGCAAACUUAUUGAUACUCUGAUUGAGCAAAAUCAUCAUCUGGGCUUAUUUCCGAAUCAAGUUCCUACUCAUAAGGAACGGUAUCAGAGGCUUGUGGGGAAAUUAAUUUAUUUGUCUCACACUUGCCCUGACAUUGCUUAUGCAGUUAGUGUAGUAAGUCAGUUUAUGCACUCACCUAGUGAAGCUCAUAUGGAUGAAAUAGUCCGUAUUUUGAGGUGCUUGAAGAUGGCUCCUGGCAGAGGCUUGGUUUUCUCCAAGAAUGGUCAUUUGAAUGUCGAAGGGUAUACAGAUGCAGAUUGGACAAGUUCUAUCACUGAUUGGCGGGUGGUAAUCUAGUUACUUGGAGAAGUAGAAACAAAAAAUGGUGGCUAGGUCAAGUGCUGAAGCUGAGUUUCGUGGUAUGUCUCAUGGUGUAUGUGAGUUGUUGUGGUUAAAAAAAUUGUUGAGAGAUCUUGGAUUUAAACCCAAUGGUGCUAUGAAACUCCAUUGUGAUAACAAGGCUGCUAUUGAGAUUGCUCAUAAUCCAGUGCAACAUAAUCAAACAAAACAUGUGGAGAUUGAUCAACAUUUCAUCAAGGAAAAUUUGGAUGCUGGAAUUAUUAUGUUUCCGUUUGUGAGAUCUGAAGAUCAACUCGCUGAUGUACUUACUAAGACUGUGUCUAAUAGUGUGUUUUCCAACUCGCUUGACAAGUUGGGCAUGCAUGACAUCUUUGCUCCAACUUGAGGGGGAAUUUUACGAGUUAUAUAUAGUUAAAGUGUAAAUAGUAGUCUGUUGUCCUACAUUGAUGAAGUACAUAUGUAAUACUAAUUGUAACUCCUAUAUAUACUCCACUUUGGAGAUUAAUAAAUAUAUAAGAAAUUCCCAAAUAUUGUCAUAUAAAUUUUUGGUAUUUAUCAUGUUUAGUUUAAUAGUCUAAACAUCAGGAAAUACACCAACCCUAAACCUAAUGGAUUUUAUGAAGCCGCUGGUUUGGGUACACAUUAAUCUAACCUAAUUGCUCUACCACAUUCUAAACACAAAAUUUGUUAUAAAUAGGAUGAUUAAAUUUAUUUUCUCAAGCGGUAGAGUAGUGAACCUCACAGCGACGACAAUCUUCCACCCCCAAAUUCGGGUUUUUUUGUACUAAAAUGGUCUUUUAUGUAUAAGAACUUUACGAUAAGUUUAUUAAAAUUGGCUCUGUAUCUACGAAAUCUCAACAUCCAUACGUUACAAAAUGGAUUAGAACUCCUAGGAAAUAAAAUAGAACAUAUGAUGAUCCCUUUAAAGGGCCUUAUAAUGGGGAAGACUUCUCACAGAAUAUAAGAAGACGAAGAGGAAAACUAAAAACUUAGAACUUCAAGGAGAUGGACUGGAGCAGGGAGAAUGGCAAAGAACCGGAACCCAGAAGACCCGCAACGAAAAAGAAAACACUGUACUUUUUUUAGACAUUUUUUCACAUUUCUUCUCGGCCUUACAGCCAAGUAGCAUUUUCCGACCCCAAAUAAAGAUAGAAGGAAAAAACCAAAUUAAGGUAAAUAAAUUUUCUAUAGCAACUUGGCAAACAAAAACAUACUAGAAGAAAACAAGGAAAAUACAAAGAAAUUAAGGAAGUAUGGGAAACAAAAUAAAUUUAAUACGGGACCAACGACAACGGUGCAAAUGUAUAUUGUUCAGGAAAUAAACUUUUAGCGAAAAUGUGCUGCAAAAUUGACCAAUUUUGCUUCAUAUUCACACUCAAUUUUUUUAAGAAUUAAUAUCUGUAGAGUUUAGACCAAAAAUAAAAUAAAAAACAAAACCAAAAUGCUACUCCACUUUCUUGGUACUUAACUCAGCUCUCCACCUCCUUCCAAUCUUACAAGCUUCUAGAUUUAGAUUUGUCUCAAAUCACAUGCCAACUAACCUGCCCAGCUCAAUUUUAUUUUUUCUUUGGAAAUUCCAGUGCGUCUCUACUUUUGUUUUUCUAAAUCUUACUUACUCCCAUUAUAAUUGGAAUUUUAUAUAUUUAUAUGGAUGCUUUGUCAAGAUAUGAGAGAAAUAGUAGUGAUUCAAAAAGAUGAUUAGGAGCCAAAAAUAUUUAUUAUUUUAGAUUGGUGUUUAUGUUUUUGAACAGUUAAAAACUUUUUUGGUCAUUGUGUUUAUGUUUAAAAUUUAUUUUGGUCACUGUAUUUUAUUUUCUGCUAAUUUAGUUACUGUGUUAUCACAAGUUAGCAAUCUUAGUCCUUCUCAAUCAAACGUUAAAAAAAACGCACAUGACAUGCAAGUGCAGGGGUAACUAUGUAAGUGAAAAUAUAUCUUUGCCCCUGCACGAAACUGUCACGUGCAUUUUUUUGGCGGUUGACUUAUGGUAACGCAGUGACCAAUUUGGCAGAAAAUAAAACACAAUGACCAAAAUAAAUUUUAGAAAUACACACAGCGACCAAAAACGUUUUAAUUUAACCCAUUUUUAACAGUCCAGCCAGCUACCAUGAAAGCUACAACAUGAAAGCUGACUGUCAAAAUUUUGUUUAAAAAUUCAUACACAAUAAUCGUCAUAAGAACGUGCAAUAGGUACUUUGAAUUCUUAAAUAUACUGCAUGGUUACCCUUUCCUUUUGUUUUAUACAGAGAAAUCUUGACAGGCAGUCAAAAGCAAAAUUAUGUUCUUCUAGUGAUAUCUGUGUGCUAAAAAGGAAGUACGUAGCUACGUUCAGUCUUCACCUAACACUCCUAUUUGCACCUAAAAGAUGUGGAUAACAAAGAUUUUGACCAAAAUCACAUUGACAAGUACUUGCCAAAGGAUCACGGAACCUAUGAUUGUAAAAGAUAUACGUGUUGGGCCUGACCGACGUUAAUUAGUUGUUCAUAUUGAUUUGAGAAAUUUGAUUGAAUGAGGAUUAACAAAUCACAAUUGCUAAAAUAUUAAAAUGUAUUAACUGCGACAUAUUGGUUAAAUAAUUAUUGCACAUCGAAAAAAUAUUGACGAGUAAUUAUGAAUUUUUAUUUUCAUUAUUUCAAACAUUUUUAUAUUAGAAAAGCUAAAGAAAAUGAUUUAAAAACUUUGAAUUUUAAUGAUACGUACAAAAUGAAAGGUAAAAUAAAUAGUACCAGAAUUAACUUUUUGUUUAAAUUUUAUUUUCUAUUUGGCAUCAACUUUUGGUUUAAAUAUACUAUAUAACCCUCACAAAAGAAAAAGCAUGGUGUACUAGUAGCUAAAAGACAUAAAAAAGGUUAAUCUUAAUUUAUUAUUCUAAAGUUUCUUAGUUUUCAAUAUUUGGUAUAUAAAGUUUUUUUUAUUCUAGAGUUGUACAUAAAGUUAUAAUUUUGGGAUACUUUCAUACAUCCAUUAAGGUUGCUGUUAAAUUUAUCAUUAACUGAUGAUAUGACAUUUAUGUUGACAAUGACACGUAGAUAUUAAAAAUUAAAAAUUAAAUUAAUAAAAUAAUAAAAAUUAAAAAAAAAAAAAAAUUGGGCGUCUUCACCCUCACCCCUUCUGACCCCCCUCCCUUCUCUCCUCUGCACCCACGCUUCCCCCUCCCUCUUCGACUCCACCCAACGCUGCACUCCGAGGAUUGUUGCCAUCCUUUCAAGCCCAAUUUCGCCCCCAAAUAGGCCCGGGCAGUACUUGGCCAUAAACUUCAAGUCGUAGACCCUCUCGAACAAACGACCUGCCAUCUUUGCGAACUCAGUGGGGGAGCUGAGGAUGGUCUUCCUCGUCACCAGCUUCAUUACAUAGGCCGAGUCGUAGAGGCCGUGGAAGCUCACCCAUACGAGCUGCCCCCUGUGCACCCUUAAAAUCUCAACGAAACCCUCCACAAAAAUAUCCGAAUCAAUGCCGAACUUCCCAAAUUUCUCGAGAUCCAAGCCAUUCGCUUUGAGGAGGGCAAUGGAUUCUGGAACAUGGGGGUCGGUUUCCUCGUCAAAACCCCGAAAGUUGAACUCCCAGGUGCCGCCGACGUUGCCGCGGUCGUCGAACAGGGUGAUACCCACUUGGAUGAGAUUGAGAGAAUCGACAUUAAGGGCGAUAUCUUGGUAACGGAGGCCCUUGGAAGUGCCUCUGGGGGUGUUGCGGAGGAACCCCGGAAAUUCGGUGUCGAACGAGACGAUCGGAAAACGGCAGAGACACCGAUCGACGGAGGGAAGGGGAAAGGUGGGUGCAAAGGAGAGAACGGGAGUGGGGUCGGAAGGGGUGAGGAAGAAGAUGCCCAAAUUUUUUUAUUUAUUUAAUUUUUUUAGUUUUUAUUAUUUUAUUUUUUAAUAUGCACGUGUCAUCAUGUCAUUGUCCACGUGGAUAACACAUCAUUAGUUAACAGUAAAUUUAAAGGCAACCUUAAUGAAUGUAUAAAAUUGUUCCAAAAUUAUAACUUUAUGUACCACUCUGAGAUGAAAAAAACUUUAUUUACCAAAUAUUGAAAACAAAAAAACUUUAAGAUAAUAAACUAAUAUUAAUCCUAAAAAACUACUAAAGGAAAGGGUGAAAGAAAAAAUUAUUAGUUUGUGCUGUUCUCAUGGUAAUAGUGGUUUUUGUAUUGUACGAUCAUGUGUUACAUUUUAUGCAUUAUUAUGUGGAUGAAUGAAUAAGUUAAUUACAUCGCAUGUCAUAGGGUGAAUAUUACAUUAAAAAAUUCUUCAUUCUUGUUAUUCGUCAAAUUAAUGGUUGUGCAUUUGUAUGAGGACCUAGAUCUGUUGAGGAUGCAGAUCUUCACUCGUUGAAGGCCAUCCCUAUCUAUCUACUACUACUCUUUGGAAAAUAAUUGACUACAGAUGAUUGUACAAAAAAAUAAUUAAUAUUAUCUGAACAGCUCACCAUGCAUGUUCAGUAAAGUAAAGCGGAUUUGUUUAUUCAUUGUCUAGUUCAAACUUGGGGAGCAUUUUCUCAUUCUUGCGGUGAUCAGAAUAAUGUGAUUUAAGUCCAGUUAAACAUGCUUAAUUAUGCAUUUAAGCAUCUUUUAUUUAUUUGCUUUCAUUAUUUUUUCCUUCUUAAUGUGUUGUUAUUGUUUGGAACAACAAGUAAGACAAAUCUAGCCAGUUAGCAUUCACCGCAUCACCGCAUAAUGAAAGAUUAUUCAUAUUUGGAAAUGAAUAAUUAAUUAAAAAACUGUAUUAUUAAGGCAAAUGGGCACUUAAUAUUUGUAUCUUAAACCUUCCGAGUCGGAUAUUCGAGUAAAUUAGUUAAAAAGCUAUGCAAAAUGUGAAUGUGACAGACUACGUAGUAAAGUUUGGGUUAAGAGAGAGAGAGAGAGAGAGAGAGAGUAUUUCGCAGCCGGCUGGUCCCUAUGUACGGGAAGAAUCAUAGAAAGUUAGGUAACUACACACAUUUUUCAAAGAUGUCGAUCAUGAAAAAUAUUUGAUAACAAAUUCAGGGAGGACAUACUGCUUAAAUUAUUAACCUAGAAAUAAAGUUCGAUCUCUUGCUUUAACUUUUCUGCUACGUAGCUCUUAUUGCAUUAAACAAAGCCUUAUUAAAGUAAAGAUGGUCACACCCUUAGCCCUUUAGGUGAUACGUUCAGGGAAAUGGUUAAUGUUUUUACAAGCUCUUGUUUAUUUUUAUUUUUUAAUAUUUUCAGAUAUUUUUACAAUCUUUUACUGCGCAGUAAUAGAGUGUAAAAAUCAUAUCUAUGUAUUUAUUUAUUAUUAACUAUGUUUACAAUGAACCUUCUAUUCCAUGAAACAAGAUAUAAAAAUAAAAAUAAAAAGGAGAAGGGCAUAAAUUAACAAAAUUCGGUCAAAGGCCGCAUUGGUCCAAACAUUAAUUGAUAAUCUAUGACAAAUAGUCUGGCCCCAUUAGCAUUAUUUUAACAGUAAUAUUGUUUUUUUACUAAGAUAAUUAAUAAUUGCCAAGUGAAAAUUUGGCAUGAGUACCAUUGUGAAGGGUAAAAACCAAAGCUAUAUAAAGGGUGAGGAGGCUUAGCUUCAGAGGCAGACAACCAAAAACCCAUUCUUAACGAAGGAUGGGAAAAAUGGUGCCUUCACAAGUGACCUCUCUUGUGGUCACUCUCCUAGUGGCAAUAGUCUCUCUCACAUUGCCUUCAGAAACUUCAGCUAACUACCCUUACACCUCUCCACCACCACCGGCCUCUCCUCCCUACCAUUACAAGUCACCACCGCCUCCUUCUCCUUCUCCUCCAGUGCACUACUCACCACCUAAGCAUCCCUACCACCCUAAGUCACCACCACCUCCUGUGUACGCACCACCUAAGCAUCCCUACCACCCUAAGUCACCACCACCUCCUGUGUACCCACCACCUAAGCAUCCCUACCACCCCAAGUCACCACCACCAUCACCAAAGCCUUACCACUACAAAUCCCCACCACCACCUCCUGCUCCAGUGCACUCACCACCCCCACCUAAGGAGCCAUACCACUACAAGUCCCCACCACCACCACCCAAGAAGCCCUACCACUACAAAUCUCCCCCACCACCUCCUCCUCCAGUUCACUCACCACCACCACCCAAGGAGCCUUACCACUACAAAUCUCCACCACCACCACCCAAGAAACCUUACUAUUACAAGUCUCCUCCACCACCACCAAAGAAGCCUUACCACUACAUGUCUCCUCCCCCACCGGUGUACUCACCACCUCCACCAGUGCACUCACACCCACCACCAAAAAAGCCUUACCAUUACAAAUCUCCUCCCCCGCCAGAAUAUUCACCAGCUCCACCAGUGCACUCAACCCCACCACCAAAGAAGCCCUACCAUUACAAAUCCCCACCACCACCACCACCACACAAGAAGCCUUAUUACCCUGUUCACUCACCACCUCCACCUAAGAAGCCUUACCACUACAAAUCCCCACCACCACCUUCUCCUACUCCUCCUAAAUACUCACCACCUAAGCACCCCUACCACUACAAGUCUCCACCACCACCACCAAAGAAGCCUUACCAUUACAAGUCCCCACCACCUCCUUCUCCUACUCCCCCUAAAUACUCACCACCUAAGCACCCCUACCACUACAAGUCACCACCACCACCACCCCAAGAAGCCUUACCACUACAAGUCUCCACCACCACCACCUCCUCCAGUUCCCACACCAUCUCCACCCAAGAAACCUUACCACUACAAGUCUCCCCCACCACCCCCUCCAGUCUACAAGUCUCCUCCACCACCAGUUUACUCACCACCACCACCACCUAAGAAACCUUACAAGCCACCAACUCCUCCAGCAGUUCACCCACCACACGGUUACAUCUAUUCCUCACCCCCACCUCCUCACCACUACUAGAUAUUGAAAGUUUAAUUGCAUCAAGCUGGUAAG